ensembl:lncRNA
CCUGCCUGAGGGCUGUCAGAGGAAGCCAGCUAUAACAGAAGGCUUAAAGAAGAUGGACAGUCUCGUAACAUAAUACCAAAAAUGUCCAGGUUUCCAUCAAAAAUCAUCCAAGAACCAAGAAAAUGCAAUCCAGAUUUUAAAAAAAAGGACUUGGUAGAUGCCAACCCUGAGAUGACAAAGAUGUCACAAUGACCUAACAAAGAUUCAAAGGCAGCCUUCAUAAAAACACUUCAGGGAGCAAUUAUGAACAUGCUUGAAACAAAUGAAAAUAUAGGAAGUCUCGGCGAAGAAAUAGAAGCUAUAAAGAAGAAUAAAAUGGAAAUUCUAGAACUGAAAAGUACAAUAACCAAAAUAAAAAACUCAGCAGAUGGGCUCAACGGCAGAAUGGAGGGGAGAGAGGAAAGAAUCAGUGAACUGGAAAACAGAACAAGAGAAAUUAUGCAAUCUGAAUAACAGAGAGAAAACAGGCUGGACAAAAGAUGAGCAGAGCCUGAGGGACCUGUGGGACUGUCACAAAAUAUCUAAAGGAAGCUCUAAUAGUCUCAGAAGGGGGCUGGGAGGCUGAAAAAGUACUCAAGAAAAUAAUGACUAAAAACUUCCUAAAUCUGGCAAAAGACAGAAAUCUACAGAUUCAAGAAGUUGAGCAAACUCCAAACAGGAUAAAGCCAAAGAAAUCUACAACAAGAUACACCAUAUUCGAACUUCUGAAAAUGAAAGGCAAAGAAGGGAUGUUGAAGGCAGUGAGAGAGACGCCAUCUUCCCUGAAGAGGAAAAGCGAUUCAAAUGACAGCAGAUUUCCAUAGAGGCCAGAAAGAAUUGGUGCAACACUUUUUCUCUUGCUGAAGGAAAAAUCUGCCAACCCCAUCCAGGAACGAAGGGAAAAUCAACUCUCAGUUACAGGACAGUCCUGAGUGAGGCCACUUUGGAUGAGGUGGCCUCGGACCAACCCUGUGGCAGAGAGUAGACAUCACAUGGAGUGUGGGGAGCGAGGAAGUAAGUGGAGGAACUCUGGGGUCAGCAGGGAGAAGACAUGGACGCAGAGAUCGCCAGGUCACCUGGAGCCAGACAACUCACCUGCAGGCCGGGGGAGAGUUUGUGACCAUCCUCUGUCAACUGUCAACUUGAGAAGGUCAAUGCAGGGAACGACACUUUUCCUUCUUACUAGAACUGGUGUGCGUGCACACGUGCGUGCAUGCACACCCAGGCAUCUGCAGGCAGACCGUGGUAGGUGGGAUGCCAGCCCCACCACUAGCCAUCUGUGGUGCUGGGCUGGUUCCCAACCCUUCAAAACCUCAGUCUUCAUCAGUAAAGUGGCAAUAAGAAGAGUACCGUGGCGACGGUUGGGUGAGAUGGAGCAGUUAAGGCGCCCGGGAGCCGAGAAGACAGGAGAGAGGGAGGCUUGUGCGCAUCUUACGUUUUCUUCCACAUCCUGAGACACGACCCGCCUCUGACAACCCCCACUGUGUUCACUGUUCACCAUCUCCCCAGAUGGCUUUACUCCUCUUUGCUCCUUGUGACGAACUAUUGUGUGGGACAUUCUGCAAGGAAAAAUGUGCAAAGGAACUCCUAGCCACCAACCUCAGAGCAACAACAUUUCAAUAUUAAAUAUUAAGGCACCAAUAUGCUGGUCAAAGACAAAAACUUGUAGCUGUGAGAUAAAUAAGUCCUGGGGACGUCCCGUACAGCCUGGG